AGGGGCGUGGUGUAAUGGACAGCAUAGUAGAAUGCGACUCUGCAGAUCCGGGUUCGACUCCCGGCGCCCCUGCCA
rnacentral:tRNA from 1 species